rnacentral:rRNA from 1 species
UACGAAGGGGGCUAGCGUUGCUCGGAAUCACUGGGCGUAAAGCGCACGUAGGCGGAUUGCUAAGUCAGGGGUGAAAUCCUGGAGCUCAACUCCAGAACUGCCCUUGAUACUGGCGGUCUCGAGUCCGGGAGAGGUGAGUGGAACUGCGAGUGUAGGGGUGAAAUUCGUAGAUAUUCGCAAGAACACCAGUGGCGAAGGCGGCUCACUGGCCCGGUACUGACGCUGAGGUGCGAAAGCGUGGGGAGCAAACAGG